AAAAAAAAUAUAGACCUUCCCAAACAUAGUUUUGGUCUAAUUUGCUCCACAAUGUUUAGGUCUAAAAUGUUCAUGAAUUAUACAGCCCAUUUACCCAACACCCAGACAAACAGUCGAAGAUCAAAUAUAAGCAAAAACGCAGGAUAAUUUAUGCUCUACCAUGUCUCACUCGAUCAAUGCUAGCUUUUCCUCAUCCACUUCAAAAGCUUUCCUUGCUUGUUUCAGUUCCUCUUGCAUAGACAGAAGUUCCAUACAGCGGUUAAGUUUUGGUAGGUCCAAAUCUGUUACGUACUCCACGACAAUAUCCUCCACAAGUGCCACAGUUUCAGGAAGAGGAUUAGGAUCAUCUCCAAAACCAUACAUCAUGUGCUGCAAGUCCUUCUGAAAGACUCCUCGCUUUCACAUAAAUGAAGUUUCAGAAAGUUGUGAGGAUCCAACUUUAGAUUUCAACGAGGUUCCUGCAGAUGAGGUGUUCAUCUUCUAAGUGUACUUAUUUCCCCUUACUUAUCUAUCACAGAAAUCAAUUGAAUUUUGGCAGGCAGUCAAAUGCCACAACUAUGCAAAUUUCAAAGCUGAAAGUUGGUUGACGGCUCCCUUAUGAACGUAUAGCAGGUGAAGUUCAAUAGCUGAAAUUCCCUGCAUUAGCCUGCUUUUCUAUUAUGUCUCCAUCUGCUAAAAUGGAGGUGUUAGAAGGUCAAUUUGAGAAGACCAGUAAAAUACAAAAGAAAGGAGAA
rnacentral:misc_RNA from 1 species